rnacentral:rRNA from 1 species
CGAGCGCAACCCUUGUCAAUAGUUGCUACAUUUAGUUGGGCACUCUAAUGAGACUGCCGGUGACAAACCGGAGUAAGGUGGGGAUGACGUCAAGUCCUCAUGGCCCUUAUAGGGAGGGCUACACACGUCAUACAAUGGAUGGUACAGAGUGUUGCCAACCCGCGAGGGGGAGCUAAUCCCAUAAAACCAUUCGUAGUCCGGAUCGCAGUCUGCAACUCGACUGCGUGAAGUCGGAAUCGCUAGUAAUCGCGGAUCAGAAUGUCGCGGUGAAUACGUUCUCGGGUCUGGUACACACCGCCCGUCACACCAUGGGUAGCGGGUUCUGCCAGAAGUAGUUAGGCUUAACGGCAAGCAGGGCGGAUUACCACGGCAGGUUUCGUGACUGGGGGUGAAGUCGUAA